rnacentral:rRNA from 1 species
GAUGAACGCUGGCGGCGUGCCUAAUACAUGCAAGUCGAGCGAACAGACGAGGAGCUUGCUCCUUUGACGUUAGCGGCGGACGGGUGAGUAACACGUGGAUAACCUACCUAUAAGACUGGGAUAACUUCGGGAAACCGGAGCUAAUACCGGAUAACAUGUUGAACCGCAUGGUUCAACAGUGAAAGACGGUCUUGCUGUCACUUAUAGAUGGAUCCGCGCCGCAUUAGCUAGUUGGUAAGGUAACGGCUUACCAAGGCAACGAUGCGUAGCCGACCUGAGAGGGGGAUCGGCCACACUGGGACUGGAACACGGUCCAGACUCCUACGGGAGGCAGCAGUAGGGAAUCUUCCGCAAUGGGCGAAAGCCUGACGGAGCAACGCCGCGUGAGUGAAGAAGGUCUUCGGAUCGUAAAACUCUGUUAUUAGGGAAGAACAAAUGUGUAAGUAACUAUGCACGUCUUGACGGUACCUAAUCAGAAAGCCACGGCUAACUACGUG